rnacentral:rRNA from 1 species
AGUGAACGCUGGCGGUAGGCCUAACACAUGCAAGUCGAACGGCAGCACAGUAAGAGCUUGCUCUUACGGGUGGCGAGUGGCGGACGGGUGAGGAAUACAUCGGAAUCUACUUUUUCGUGGGGGAUAACGUAGGGAAACUUACGCUAAUACCGCAUACGACCUACGGGUGAAAGCAGGGGAUCUUCGGACCUUGCGCGACUGAAUGAGCCGAUGUCGGCUUAGCUAGUUGGCGGGGUAAAGGCCCACCAAGGCGACCAUCCGUAGCUUGUCUGAGAGGAUGAUCGGCCGCACUGGAAUGGAGACACGGGCCAGACGCCUACGGGAGGCAGCGGUGGGGAAUAUUGGACGAUGGGCGCAAGCCUGAUCCGGCCAUACCGCGUGAGUGAAGAAGGCCUUCGGGUUGUAAAGCCCUGUUGUUGGGAAAGAAAAGCAGCAGGAUAAUACCCCGCUGUUCUGACGGUGCCCAAAGAAUAAGCACCGGCUAACUUCGUG